rnacentral:rRNA from 1 species
CCUACGGGAGGCAGCAGUGAGGAAUAUUGGUCAAUGGGCGUGAGCCUGAACCAGCCAAGUCGCGUGAGGGAAGACUGCCCAGUGGAUUGUAAACCUCUUUUGUCAGGGAACAACGCCGGCGACUAGUAGCCGGACGAGGAUUCCCGGAGGAAAAGCCAUCGGCUACCUCCGGCCCAGCACCGGCGUAAAUACGGAGGAUGCGAGCGUGAUCCGGAUUUAUUGGGUUUAAAGGGGGCGCAGGCGGAAUGCAAAGUCAGCGGUAAAAUGGCGGGGCUCAACCUCGCUGCGCCGUUGAAACUGGUGUUCUUGAGUGGGCGAGAAGUAUGCGGAAUGCGUGGUGUAGCGGUGAAAUGCAUAGAUAUCACGCAGAACUCCGAUUGCGAAGGCAGCAUACCGGCGCCCAACUGACGCUGAAGCACGAAAGCGUGGGUAUCGAACAGGAUUAGAUACCCGGGUAGUC